ACUGCUGCCCCGACUGCCGCCCCGACUGCCGCUGUGACGGCCUCCGCAGGGCCCGUUGCCACCGCUGCACCACAACUCACUUCCCGGCAGGUGGUGUUCAGAUCGGCAGGAGAAACCUUCACAAAUGAUCUAUUGAGCUCAUCUUCUGCUGCGUUUAUUGCCCGAGCAACGCUCUUAACAACACAACUCGAACCAUUUUUCAGUCAGAGUAUUGACUCCUUUAACACCAUAAACGUUGUAUCAUUCAGCAAUGGGUCGAUCAUCAACACCCUGAACGUUUUGUUCAAUUCGAACUCGCUUCCUGAUGGCCAACAGAUUUUAAAUGUGUUCACCACUGCAGCGCAAAGCAUCACAGCCUUCAAUAUUGAGACCAGCAGUAUAACUGUGGAGGGCCAACCAGUUUCAACCGGAGUCACCCACAAGAGCAGUGUCCUCACUGCAUUGGUGUUAGUGGCUCUAUCCUGGUCUCUGUCCAGACAGAGUUAGUGUCGGCCUGUCCGUCUACCUAAAUCUUGGGAUGCACGAUAAAUAUAUGUCUGAUUAAUUAUCAGAAAGGAGGUGUCGAUAGGAUCUAUUGGGCUGUAUUAAAGAUGAUAUGUAUGUUCCAAAUGAUAUGUAUUAAAGGACUUAAUGUACAAUAAAUGUGACUUUCUCAGGUAAUGAAUUUAUAAUGGAUGGGCAUUGAAGGAAUAUAUCAGAAAUAUUUCCAUUGAUUUAAGUUAUUAGUGUGAUGCAUGCAUGUAGGCCUAAUCAUUUGGCUUAUUCAACCGUAUUGUAUUCUGUGAGAUUAUAUUGCCUUUAAAUACCAGUAUCCUUAUAAAUGAAGCCAUUGUUAUAGGUUAUUUUUGAAUUUUUUGCACAAGUGGGAUUAAGCAAUAAAACAAAUAAUAAUAAACUUUCAUUUUGGCAUUACCAUUCUUAUUGAUGGUUAGUACUUUGAACCUGUUCCUACUUCCUUUGAUAUAUUUAUAUUGCCGUCUCCGUAUCAGCGCAUUAGAAUUAGAAAGUGCAGUACCCAGCAUUCCCCUCCCGCCAGCAAUUCCCGGAAAAGGAAAAAGCAUGGAUUAGUGUUAACAACAGAAGCCCUGUUGCCUCUCGUACUACUACUGUGUUGGGGCUGUAAUCAAUCCGACAU